rnacentral:lncRNA from 1 species
GAUUGCCAGGAACAGCUCACGCGCUUAAGUCGGGCUGAAGAAAAAAGACCCCCAUGACAACUCCAGAUAUCACCGAGAAUGUUGACUUUUCCGGUGGGGAAAAAAACCAAGGUGCUCCAGUUCUAAAAGACCUCGGAUUUGUUACAUGUUCUGAAAAAUUAUGGUUCUGGUAUGUACUUUUACUUUAUCCUUAAGUUGGCCAUGUUAUAUAUGCAUGCAUGUGCAUACAUCUGUAACUUUUUGGAAAACAGGCUGUUUGUAGAACUUUCAGGAUAUGUUGAGAAGUAUAAUUGACUGCUGGAAAGGUAUAGCUGCUUCCCAAAAGAUUGAGGUUUUUUUUUUUUGAAAAGUUACAUAAUUCUAAUCAGACUUUAUUUGGGACACCAGGGAUGUAGGUGUUGGUUGUAAGAGUGCUUUACCUGGCAUAUACAAGGCUCUAGGUUCAGAAGCCAGAACCAGUUUUGUUGUUACUAUUUAAAGUAUGCCCUGUAGUAUCUCUGUGGAUGUCAAUAUGAUCUUUCUGCCCUGUUGGACUUUGUUGUUGAUUUUAGGAGCACAUAAAUGAUGUUUUUCAUUCACAAGUAAUUCAGACUAGAAUGACAGCAUAUUUCAGGAUAUGGAUUAAAGCAGAUCUGGUUACCUAAUGAUGUUCCUCCAAAGAUGAAUCCCUAGAGAGCUUAGUGUGACUAAAAUAAAUUUGGUUUUUCUUUGUUUUGUUUUUUAUUU